ensembl:lncRNA
GCACCACCCUACACCACCAGGCCCCAUACAGAGAGACCAGCACCACCCUACACCACCAGGCCCCAUCCAGAGAGACCAGCACCACCAUGCACCACCAGGCCCCAUACAGAGAGACCAGCACCACCCUGCACCACCAGGCCCCAUCCAGAGAGACCAGCACCACCCUACACCACCAGGCCCCAUCCAGAGAGACCAGCACCACCCUACACCACCAAGGCCCCACCCAGAGAGACCAGCAUCACACUAUACCACCAUGCCCCAUCCAGAGAGACCAGCACCACCCUACACCACCAGGCCCCAUCCAGAGAGACCAGCACCACCCUGCACCACCAGGCCCCAUCCAGAGAGACCAUCUCUACCCUACACCACCAGGCCCCAUCCAGAGAGACCAGCACCACCCUGCACCACCAGGCCCCAUCCAGAGAGACCAGCACCACCCUACACCACCAGGCCCCAUCCAGAGUGACCAGCACCACCCUGCACCACCAGGCCCCAUCCAGAGAGACCAGCACCACCCUACACCACCAGGCCCCAUCCAGAGAGACCAGCACUACCCUGCACCACCAGGCCCCAUCCAGAGAGACCAGCACCACCCUACACCAUCGUGUCCCUUCCAGAGAGGCCAGCUCCACCCUACAAUAUUGAGCCCCUCCCAGAGAGACCUGGUCCACCC